UUUAACAACGGUUUUUCAGCUACAUAGACAACGCUUUUAAAGCGUUGUCUAUCAGCUUUUUUCUUGUAGUGGGAUAUGACUACAACCCAAAGAAGUGAGAGCAUGAAUAGUAUUGUGAAAAAAUAUGUCACUUAUAAACACAAGUUUUUAGAUUUCUUCAAUCACGUCCAAAGACUCCUUGAUGAUCGUCGAUAUGAGGAAUUAAAAGCUGAUUUCAGAUCAAAUACAACUGUUCCAUAUUUAAUGUUUCCAAUUGAGAUUUUAAAGCAUGCUAGUGAAAUUUAUACUCCUGAGACAUACAAGUGUUUUCAACAAGAGUGGUGCCUAUCUCAUGAUUCUAGUAUAGAAAUUUGUGAGGAUGUUGAUACAUUUAUAAAAUAUAAAGUUACUCCUCACAAAAAGAGAAAUCAUCAUAUAGUUACACUUGAUAAGAAGUGUGAAAAAAUUGAGUGUAGCUGUAAAAAAUUUGAAUUUGCUAGAAUUUUAUGUUCUCAUAUUCUGAAAAUAUUUACAUGGAAAAAUAUCAUGAAGAUCCUUAGUGAGUAUGUAUUGAAAAGGUGGACAAGAAAAGCAAAAAUUGGAUAUUUUGAAGUUAAUGAUUCAAUGACCAAUAAUACUAGUUUGGAUCUAAAAUUAAUUCAAAACAUGCGAUACAAAGAGUUGUGUGGGUUGAAUGUUCAAUUGGUUACCAAGGCAGCGGAAAGGGAUGACACUUACAAGUUUGUUAAAGAUGCUAUGUUGAGCUUAUGUAAGAUGGUGGAUGAUAAAUUACAAGUUAAUGAAUCAAAUGUCCAACAAUCAAAUGUGAGCCAAGCAUCAUGGGAAUUUGAUUAUGGUGAAGGAAACUCUACUGGAGUAAAAGGGAUUAAAAUGAAGAAAAAAACGAUGUCAGGUAAGAGGUUGAAAGGUGGGUUAGAGAAGAUUUCAAGGAAAAGAAAAGCAGCGAGGAAAACAAACCAAACUUCAACAAUUGGUGUAGAUCAAACUAUUUCCAGUGUGCCCAGUGUACAAUGUGACUCGAUUAGUCAUCAACCUAUAAAUUAUGUGCCAACAAUUGGUAGCUCUGUUAGUAGUUUCAAUAUGGCCGAGACUCAAUUUCCACCAUUAUUGACAUCACAACUUUCUCAGGUAUAUAUACAUCUUAGUAACAAAAUAUGGUUUACAGAUAUACUUGGCUUAGUGUAUUGUGAAAUUAGCAAAAUAUAGUUUACAGAUAUUUAAUUGGCAAUCUUGUUUGGUUUCAAUUUUGCUGACUCCCGAUCCUAUGAAGGAGCUCCGAGUGAAGGUGAUUUUAUGACAGUGAUUGUGAUAUUGGUGUUGGUUUAUUGUAUGUGAGCUAAAGGAAAUGGUUUGGUAACUAAAAUUCAAUAGUUCUUCUCUCAUGCCCCAAGCACACACAUAACUUGGCCAUUUAUAUAAUAUCUAAUAUCAUAGCAAAUUGUAAAUUCAUUUGUGUGUGCUGUCUCUAACAGUCUACAUCUGAAAAAGUUAAUCACAAUAUGCCAUGGUCCAAAGUUAAUAAACAUUACACAGCUGCAUGUCAUAAUGUAGAUUUGAUGCUAAUGCUAAGGCACCGAAUAGGAUCCUUCCACGGCAACUAAGGUAAAGUAUAAAGAAAAUAGAUACAAGGUACAAUUUGAACUUUUCCAUUUCUAUAAUAAAUAAAUUUGGAUUGGAUAACUAUAAGUACAACAAACACACUCGACAUGUUCAUUGUGACAAAUAAAGUAAAUAUAUCUAGUUAUUAUGUUAAAUGCUGUCUGCUAAUACUAUGAUGACAAACUACCUUGUAGGUGUAUAUUUUCUUCUGACACCGGGCAGGAUAGACCACAACCUUAUAUGUAUCUUAUACAUGUUUGCCGAUUUUGUUUGGUUUCAAUUUUACUUGAUAUAGGAUUAUAUAUUUGUACAUGUUUGCCGAUUUUCUAUUCUUUUAUUAGAUUCUUCUAUUGUUUGAGGAACUUGCAGCAUCAAGCUUUAUUUAAAGUUGAUUGAUUGUAGUGUAUCUUGGAACUUUUAUAUUAUUGUGGUACUACUUGCCAAGUUUAUGCUUAGAGUGCUGAGCAACUUAAUAGUAUUGAUCUGAUAUUUAUAAUAGUAUUUUAGUCUUGCAUAUUCAACAUAAAGUUUUAUGGAAGCAUAAGAUACAAAUUGACUCUUAUAGUUGGAAUUUUAAUAGUUAACAGUUGUUUACUGUUAUAGGUGCAAUUACCAUUUGUGCAGUUUGCUGGACCACCUCCUGCGGCCUCCUCCGCUUAGAUAUCAACGAUCUCGUUCCAAAUAUUUUGGGAGUCAUUUUGACUUUUGUCCAACUAGUCAUCAUGCUUGUUACUAUAGAUCCACACC